CGUGCGGGGUACAAGGACAAUGGGUGAAAGCGCGGUUCCAGCGGGAUCACAAUGGCAGUAUGACAAGGUCAGCUCGGAGGUUUCGCCUGGCUCAGCAGAGACCUGCGGAGCUGCUCAGCUGACGGGGCUCUUUGCUUGUUCGAGGCGCUCUAUCUCAAAGGGGCCCCGGUGACGGAGUCAUUCACAAGCAAGGGCCAUAAAUGGCCGAGUUGAACGCCGCAUUGAGCACUGCAUUCUCAGGAAUCAGACCUGACUGGAGCACAGCCAAAAUGCCUGGAACAAAAGGUAAUAAGUCGGACAAGAAGUCAGCUACCAAGCAACCUCAGAGUCCUAAAGAGCAGCCGAAGAAAGCUGAGCCGAAAGGAGAUGAUACCAAAAAGCAAGGAGCAGGACAGCCGAAGGGAGAGAAGCAAUAACUUCCAGGCGUUUGUGAAGAUGGCUUUGGAGACACUGCUGGGGUCCUGUCGCCGCAAACACGGCAGCUCCCGGGGCAAACAGGGCUGAGCGCACGUCUCCCAUCGCACGUCUCCCAUCGCACUCAACCUGAACCUGAACCUGCAGGCUGGGCGGUUGUGUGGCCUUCCAAACCAGCGUCUGGUUCACCUCUCGCGGAGAAAUAAAAGUGGACCUGAUUUCCAUCCAUCCCCGUCUGCUGUUUAAACCCUCCCCGGCCCUCUUCCCCACGCAGGCUUAUCGGAUGCUCAGAAAUAGACUCCAGGUUAAACCGGACCAUUGCUGCGAGCAACAACAACAACAACAACAACAACAAAAAAUGUUGUUAUCCCUUUGCAAUCCUCCCUGAACUCGCCUUCAUAUCACAAUCGACUGUCUAACGGUCCUUCUUGUAAAUAAUAACGAUGCAAAUAAACAACUAUUUCUUACAGCA